rnacentral:lncRNA from 1 species
GCGUGGAGAGGUAAGCACAGCUGGUGAGCACACGGGGACAGCGACGGAGCUCAUGGAGACCCAGGUGACCUUAAAACACCCCAGGGCCGGCUCCGGCCCCAGAGAGAUGUGGUCCGAGUAGAGGGGGGUCAGCAGUGACCUGGUGGGUGGGUGUAUUUGAGGGGUGCCUGUGUUGAAAGCUCUGCAGUAGAUUCUAAGGAGCAGCCAGGGCUGAGACUCCCGGUGCUGAGCCCAAGGCCCCUUUCCUUCCUGCAGGAGUUCAUCUUGGCUCUUGCAGCCCCCAUGACCCUGUGGCGCUGGGGGGCGGCUAGCAUGAUGCUCCCCAUUUUUCAGGAGGGAAGCUGAGGCUCAGAGACAUCAUGAGGAUGCCAGCUCAAGGCCCAGCCAGGCCUUGGUCCUCAGCUGCUGUCAUCCAGUAGGCUCAAGCCCAGAGGCCUCCAGGGUGUCCAGCCUCCAGGGUGCCUCCUACGCAGCCUCCACGUCCCCAUCCACUGCAGCCCCUGACCAUCGGGCACACCGUGGGGCCUUCGCUGGCCGCCGGGCCUCAGGUUCUGCUGCACCAAGUGAUUUUUAAAGCCCCAUCUGCCUUUCUCCACUUAUAAAGAACUUGGGACAUU